AGUUUAGAAGACUUGGUAGAACACGUAGUAAGCAGGUGGAAUCUCCCUGCGUGUUCUACCAAGUUAUCUAGGUUGG